AUUGAACGCUGGCGGCAGGCCUAACACAUGCAAGUCGAACGAGUGGCGGACGGGUGAGUAAUGUCUGGGAAACUGCCUGAUGGAGGGGGAUAAAUACUGGAAACGGUAGCUAAUACCGCAUACCAUCGGAUGUGCCCAGAUGGGAUUAGCUGGUAGGUGGGGUAACGGCUCACCUAGGCGACGAUCCCUAGCUGGUCUGAGAGGAUGACCAGCCACACUUCAACGGAGCCACGGUCCAUACUCCUGCGGGAGGCAGCAGUGGGGAAUAUUUCACAAUGGGCGCAAGCCUGAUGCAGCCAUGCCGCGUGGAUGAAGAAGGCCUUCGGGUUGUAAAGUACUUUCAGCGAGGAGGCGUUACCCGCAGAAGAAGCACCGGCUAACGCCGUGCCAGCCGCGGUAAUUC
rnacentral:rRNA from 1 species